UUUCCCACUCAGUAUCAAACCCAAGAACAUGGCGAGAUGAGCACGGACGCGCGUCGCUGCCGCCCGGCGAUGCGGCUCGGGUGACAUGAGGAGAGUCGCUCUUCACCGGGCGCCGCGAAUCGGUGAGUACCCACCGUCUUCUCCUGCUGCAACCAGCACCCCGGUGGAGUUCGGCAGUUCCCUUCUUCUGCCUCCUCGUCCUGAGCUCCCCGAGAAUGCGAGGAGAGGAUUCUCCUCCACUGCCCUGCAGCUGCUCUCGAGGCGAGGGGACCCCUUCUCUGCGCCCUCCGGUAAUCCCGCCGCCUGUAAACCCCUGUCAGUUGGUCCUUGCGAGAAU
rnacentral:lncRNA from 1 species